UACGUAGGGUGCGAGCGUUGCCCGGACUUAUUGGGUCGUAAAGGGCGCGCAGGCGCUACGCACGUCCGUUGUGAAAUCGCUCGGCUCAACUGGGCGGGGUCAGCGGAUACGGCGUAGCUGGAGCAAGCUAGGGGGCAAUGGAAUUCCCGGUGUAGUGGUGGAAUGCGUAGAUAUCGGGAGGAACACCAGUGGCGAAGGCGGUUGCCUGGAGCUUUGCUGACGCUGAGGCGCGAAAGCGUGGGGAGCGAUCCGG
rnacentral:rRNA from 1 species